GCAUACAAGUCCAAAAUCAUUCUAUGUUGAUCUUAGUCUCCUUACAUCUCCAUCAACCAGUGCCCAAGAACUUGAGGAGCUUAGAUUAGCUCUCAGCUCGUUGGGCUACUUUCAUGUCCUCUUUUCCAAAAUCACUCUUACAACUGAGAAUUCCAUGUUUUACUGUUGAUCAAUGUUUGUUUCAAUAUGAUUUCAGUUUCAAUACUCUAAAGAAUCUGGCAGCAUUGAAGGGCCUGGAAAUGACAUGAUUUUUUCAGACCACCAAAUAAUUGAUUGGACUGAUCAAUGUCUUACCAUUAGCCUAGAAGACCAGAGAAAGAUCAAAUCUUAGCCCAAAAAUCCUAAGAAGCGUAGGUAAUCCAACCAAAUCACCAAAUUAUUUUGGCUUGGCUUGGCAUCCCCAACCUACUCACUUUGCAUGCCUUUAGUCAUUAACAAUAGCUUCUAGUGGUUUGCAUUUCUUCAGCUUCAAAAUAUGUUUACCCUUCACUUAAUUCUCGCAUCAUUAAUUUCAGGAACUCCAUACACAUCUUGCUACUGCAUGUACUUAGCAGCCAACCCUCUUGAUGUUUUCAACCCUCUCAUUCGUUGUUUUUUCACAAGCUUAGAUAUUGCUUUUGCAGGGGGAACACUGUCCUGGUGCUUUUGUGACGACUCCAAGAGAUUAGCUGCUUUUUCUUUCUUUUUUCGCUUUGUUUGAGUAGCGAUGAAGAAUUCCUUUUGUUUUUUUAAAUGCUUCUUUUUUAAGAUCACUUUGUCAGACACCUCCUGGGCUUAGUGACAGUUAGGAUUAAUGGUUUGUGCUUUUUAGGGAUUUAGAUUAUUUGGUUAGUUUAUGCAACUCGCAUUCACUGGCCACAGAUUUAGCUAGCUUAGGCUUUUAAUCCACAAUUGGCUGUUUACGUAAUCUCUAUUCUUUUCACUCUUCCUCCACAUAACUAAAGGAACCCGUGUCCCAUUCACAAGCCACCCCGCGACAUCACUGCUGCGGUGGAUUGGUAUAAAUAUUAUUUUAAUAUAUUUUUAAAUAAAAAUUAUUUUAAAAUACAAAACAUAUAAAAAAAAUUAUUUUUAAAAGAAAAUUGAAUUUUUUUUAAAAUGCGAAUUCACCAGCGUUUCCAAACGGGAACAUGCAAAAACACCACAUCUAGUAACAUUUAGCCGCGUUUAGGAACGCGUUUGAACUGUGUUAUGACAACAGUUUUAGCAUGAAGAAAGCAACUUUAUUUAGCAUCAUUAUAACAACAGUUUUCUACUUACUUUGUGGAUGCAUGGGCUAUGCAGCUUUUGUAAAUUAUGCCCCAGGAAAUCUUUUGACUGGCUUUGGAUUCUACAACCCCUGUUGGCUAUUAGACAUUGUCAAUGUUGCAAUCGUCGUUCACCUUGUUGGUGCCUAUCAGGUCUAGUGCCCAUCGAGAUGUAUAUUUCUCAGAAGAAGAUUGGGCGAUGGACGAGCCAGUGGCUGGCUAGGGCUUCAGAUUUUCAGUAUGAGUUGCCUCGUGAUCACCAUAGCUGCAGCUUGUUGGCUCUGUUGCCGGGAUUGUGUUGGAUCUCUAAACUUACAAGCCAUGCAUUUAAAUCUAGUUACCGAGGUCUGAGAGAGAGAGCUAUGAAUUGAUUAUACGCAUUUCAAGCAGUGAAUUUAGUAAGCAGCCUAUAUUCGUCAGUUGUGUCAAUAAGUACAUAUAUUGAACUUCUAAGAGUCCAGCAAGGACUGAUGUAUCUUUCUCAAUCUACAAGAUAUUUGAGACGGA